rnacentral:miRNA from 1 species
AUGUGGAAAAACAACGGACUGA